rnacentral:lncRNA from 1 species
GUGUUCUCCUUUCUGGAUAUUCUCUUUUUCUUCUUUUUGUUGAAUUUCUUAAGAAAUUUGAUAAAACCAAGAAUUUGUUUUAAUGUCUCAAUCAUAGGAACUUUAAUCUCCAAUUUCUUGAAGAUUUCCAUGAAGCGCUCAAAUUGAUUUUCCUUCCUAUGAUACUUCUUUGGAUGAGGAAGGGGUUUUUCAUAUGAUUCCUUCUUCUUUUUUCUCAUCCUCUUUUUCUUACUUUUCUCA